rnacentral:tRNA from 1 species
GGAUAGUUACCCAAGAGGAUAAGGGGACUGGUUGCUACCUAGUUAGGCGCUACGGCGUGCGUUGGUUCGAAUCCAACACUAUCCGCCA